rnacentral:tRNA from 1 species
GGUUUUGUAGUUUAAGUAAAAUAUUAAAUUGCAAGUUUAAUGAUGUUAUGUAUCAAAGCUU